rnacentral:rRNA from 1 species
ACGUAGGUUAGUCUACUGCAAGUUGUUGCUGGUCCUGCAAGAGUGGGGGCAUGUGCACACUCUGUUUACACAUCCACUCACACCUGUGCACUCACCGUAGUUCUAUGGCCUGGGGGGGCUCUGUCCCUCUUGCUGUGGUUCUAUGUCUUUACACACACACACAGUAAUAAAAUUUUACAGAAUGUGUUGUGCGUUUAACGCAAUACAAUACAACUUUCACCAACGGAUCUCUUGUGUCUCUCAUCUAUGAAAAAAGCACCGAAAUGUGAUAAAAAAUGUGAAUUGCACAAAUCUCUGAAUCAUCUAAUCUUUGAACGCACCUUGUGCCCUCUGUGUAUUCCACAGAGGAUGUGUGUGUGAGAAUCUUGAACACCUCUCCUCUUGCGGUUUUGCCGCGAUGAGAUUGGACUUUGUGGGUCUUGCUGUGCUGUGGGCACCUCCUCUCACAUGAAACACCUUGUGACAGUGUGGGGGGGCCACGGGUGUGAUAACUAUAUACACUUGCGGCUUCCACCACGUAACCUUCACAGAGGGAGGUUCUCUGGAGAUCAUAUACGUCUCUCCUCUCAGAGGACAGCUUCUUGAAUGUGUGAUCUCUCAUCACGUAGGGCUAUCCGCUGAAAUUAUACAUAUCUAUAAACGGAGAAAAAGAAACUAUAAAGGAUUCCCCUAUAAUCUGCGAGAGAGACGCGAAAAGAUCUCAUUUAAAAUCUGGGGUGCCUCUGUGCGCCCCAGAUGUAUACUCGAGAAACGUCUCCUCCGCUGUACAGCGUACACGUCUCCUGUG